rfam:TPA: Bos taurus chromosome 20, whole genome shotgun sequence.
UCCCUGGUGGCUCAGAUGGUGAAAGAGUUUGCCUGCAAUGCAGGAGACCCAGGUUUGAUCCCUGGGUUGGGAA